GAGUUUGAACCUGGCUCAGGAUGAACGCUGGCGGCGUGCCUAAUACAUGCAAGUCGAACGAAACUUCUUUAUCACCGAGUGCUUGCACUCACCGAUAAAGAGUUGAGUGGCGAACGGGUGAGUAACACGUGGGCAACCUGCCCAAAAGAGGGGGAUAACACUUGGAAACAGGUGCUAAUACCGCAUAACCAUAGUUACCGCAUGGUAACUAUGUAAAAGGUGGCUAUGCUACCGCUUUUGGAUGGGCCCGCGGCGCAUUAGCUAGUUGGUGGGGUAAAGGCUUACCAAGGCAAUGAUGCGUAGCCGAACUGAGAGGUUGAUCGGCCACAUUGGGACUGAGACACGGCCCAAACUCCUACGGGAGGCAGCAGUAGGGAAUCUUCCACAAUGGGCGAAAGCCUGAUGGAGCAACGCCGCGUGGGUGAAGAAGGUCUUCGGAUCGUAAAACCCUGUUGUUAGAGAAGAAAGUGCGUGAGAGUAACUGUUCACGUUUCGACGGUAUCUAAC
rnacentral:rRNA from 1 species